AUUGAACGCUGGCGGCAGGCCUAACACAUGCAAGUCGAACGAGUGGCGGACGGGUGAGUAAUGUCUGGGAAACUGCCUGCUGGAGGGGGAUAACUACUGGAAACGGUAGCUAAUACCGCAUACCAUCAGAUGUGCCGAUAUUGGAUUAGCUUGUUGGUGGGGUAAAGGCUCACCAAGGCGACGAUCCAUAGCUGGUCUGAGAGGAUGACCAGCCACACUGGUACUGAGACACGGUCCAGACUCCUACGGGAGGCAGCAGUGGGGAAUAUUGCACAAUGGGCGCAAGCCUGAUCCAGCCAUGCCGCGUGUAUGAAGAAGGCCUUCGGGUUGUAAAGUACUUUCAGCGGGGAGGCGUUACCCGCAGAAGAAGCACCGGCUAACUACGUGCCAGCAGCCGCGGUAAUUC
rnacentral:rRNA from 1 species